UCCCUGAAGAUCCCUUUACCACAGAACUUCCUGAUCCAGCCCAGCUUCUCAGGCUGCAGGUUCUGAGACACCGAGUCCUGUGGACCCUGGACAGGAAGCAGGAAACAGGAAACAGGAAGCAGGAAGCAGUCAGAGCAGAUUCAGUCUGAGCGUCUUCACUCUCUGAAUGAGACGCGGUGACGACAGGAAACUGAACAUCUGAUCAGAUGAAUAAUGUCCUGAUGUGGUGAAUGAAGUGAAAGUAGACGUCCUUUCCAACAUCUCUGACAGAAGCUGAAUAUUAAAGAGGAACUGAAACGAUGAGUUAUAAAAAAACAGAACAUCUGAUUUAAAGCUGCUUUAAUCCCUGUUUCUCUCUCUGUGUGUGUGCGUGUCUAUGUGUAUGUGUGUGUGUUGUUGUUGUUGUUGUUUGUUAUGUAAGUCAGUUUAACGGCUGUUCUCCCGUUAACGGACUGAACCGGAGCUGUUCAGCAGAUGAACCGUCAGUGGUUCAGGUCGGAGUCUCGGUUAAACUCGGGUUAAACUCGGGUUAACUCGGUUAAAUUCGGGUUAAAUCGUCUUUUAUCCUUUAAUUUUCUCCUUUUUUCACUUUAACUGUUUAAAUCAUCAGUGACGCUCUUAUUGUGAAAAGCGGAAGUGUAAUGUUAAACCAGCCAGCGGCCGCUGUCACCUUCAAAAUAAAAGGCUUUAAACUAAUCCUUGAGGCUUUUGUUCCUCGAGCUUCGGUUUAACGUCAGAAAACGGACCGUCACGAGCCGCCGGUGGCCGGUGUCGGUCCCGGUAAC